ACUACGCUCAUUGGUUGUUAUAUAUAUAUAUAGUGAUACGUUACAAUCGAUUCGUUAACGGUUCGUACUAGCUAACUAAAGAGUCCAUUCAUUUUAUUGUUUGGACCUAACGAUACAAAAACAUUAUAAUUUCAAAAAGAGAAUCAAUACAUGUUAAAGCCAUGUAUUGAAAAACUACAUUUUCAAGAAACAAAAGGGAGACUGGAACUGUUUAACGCUUCAGUUACUAGUUAUUGUUAUUUGUUACAACUAAUAUGCAUCUAUCAACACUUUUUACACUGACCUGUAUAUUUACGUGUCUAUAUAUGAGACGGGCCAGUGCCAGGCCCUAUGAAGAUGGACAACUCGCAGCGCUGACAGACGAGGUGUUAUACGAUGACUCAAUCCCCCUGCCUUCUAUGUCAAGGAACACUCUACUAACACUACUGCUAAAGAGCUUGGCGCCACCUAGUGAUGACGAGGUUCAAAUGAGAGGGAAACGACAGCGACGUUGUUAUUGGUCUGUUGUAACGUGCUUUGGGUAACACCACAAGUCAUGUGAUAACAUCACGGAGGUGACGUCAUAAACACAAGUGAAACCUGUAAAUACAGAAGAAGUAAACUGCUGACGUUGGCUGUUUGACAGAAAAUACAAAAACAAAUAUCACUGAAAAAAUAUUUCGCAGGUCGAAUACGUGAUUGCGUAAGAUAUUAUAUGAAUCAGAUGAAAUAGCUUGUUAGAAAUAUCUAUAUUUAUAAAAAUGAAAAGAGCGUGUCGAUAGUUCUGUAUCUAUGUGUCAAUACUAACGACAGUAACAUGCCAACUGAUUCAUAUUCUGUUCAUCCUUUUGAUUUGUUCACUAUAUAUAGAUGUGUCAAUAAAAAGAGCUAACGUCAAA